rnacentral:rRNA from 1 species
UACGAAGGGGGGCUAGCGUUGUUCGGAAUUACUGGGCGUAAAGCGCGCGCAGGCGGUCUUCCAAGUCAGUGGUGAAAGCCCGGAGCUCAACUCCGGAACUGCCAUUGAAACUGUAAGACUUGAGGAUGAGAGAGGUGAGUGGAAUUCCCAGUGUAGAGGUGAAAUUCGUAGAUAUUGGGAAGAACACCGGUGGCGAAGGCGGCUCACUGGCUCAUAUCUGACGCUCAGGCGCGACAGCGUGGGGAGUCAAACAGG